rnacentral:sRNA from 1 species
CCCUAGCCCCGAUGGAAACGGCAUCCUUUUGUGACGGAGUUCGGCACAAAAGAUAUAGUGGACAGCGGGAAAGAGC